UUUUCCCUAUCUGAAUAUUUACAACUUAUCUACAGAACACCAAACACAAGAAUUAACGAUACAUUGAGCUUGUCAGCUGACAAUGAGGUGACCCCACAAUUCUGAAAUGUCCACGUUGUUUCAACAGCCUUCUUCUUACUCCAAUAAAACCCAGAAGCAACUGAAUCUAACAAUCACAUUUCCCUGGUUUCUUUCCGCAUCUCCGUCUUUUCAUUGGUAAUUCUUAAGACUUCAUCUUUGCAAAACCAUCGUCCUUCCCUGUGGAAAAAAAAAACAUGAUUUUCAACGAAAGCAGGGGAGGGAAAGAUUGCUGACAGUCACAAGGUGGAAGUCAGAAGAGUCCUCUUUGCUUGUCAGCCUCAAGCCUCGAGUGUCCAUCUCUUUCUGGGCCUGCUUCAUUCCACCCAGCCCUUGGCUGUAUUCUGGCUUGGAUUUCCCACCUCAUGACAUUUGCCUGGACAUCUGCCUUUGCCCUUGAUCCUAAGAGUCACCUGACUUCCUGGCCACCAAUCUUUUUUGUUUUAUUAUUUUUAAAAGACAGAGUCUCCUGUAGCCCAGGCUGGCCUCCAACUCGCUACAUAGCGGAGGAUGAUCUUGAACUCUGGAUCCUCAGGCUUCCUCCCUCCUGAGGACUGAGAUUAUAGGCAAAGGCCAACCCUCAGUCUGCGGUGGGGCCGUGGGCGUCGGAGGCCGUGAGCGCCAGCGUGAAGGCGCGGGCCUCCGAGUCCAACUGCGGGGGGUCGGCGUCGAAGGCCGCCUCCCUGGCCCUGCAGCCCUCCACGAACAGCCGGCGACGCUCCUCGAUUUCGCGGAGCAGCCUGGUGGGGAUCAGGGGGUUGGUGUGCAGGUAGUGUUCGAACAUCCGCUGCUCGUGCAGCUCUAGAAGGCGGAGCGGCGGGGGGACGUGCGGUAUGGCCAUCAGGCCCGCCAUGCCGGGGAACGGCCCGGGAGCCAGGCCCGGAGCCCGCGCCAUGGUCCGGGCGGCUCUGGCCAGCGGGCCUUCCAGGGCUUCGGGGACCCGAUUGCCUCCGCCCACUCCCGCCUGCAGGACGUUGCCGACGCCGUUCAUAGGGCACAGGUCCGGGAUCCUGCUUUCUCCGGGCAGCUCGGACAUUGCGGACCGUUGAGUCCUCAGAUGCACUUAGGAACCGGCUCCGGCGGCAGUGUGAAGC
rnacentral:lncRNA from 1 species